AAGUUGUGUCAAAAUAAUUUUUUCAAAG
rnacentral:sRNA from 1 species